rnacentral:rRNA from 1 species
GACGAACGCUGGCGGCGUGCCUAAUACAUGCAAGUAGAACGCUGAAGGAGGAGCUUGCUUCUCUGGAUGAGUUGCGAACGGGUGAGUAACGCGUAGGUAACCUGCCUGGUAGCGGGGGAUAACUAUUGGAAACGAUAGCUAAUACCGCAUAAUAGUAGAUGUUGCAUGACAUUUGCUUAAAAGGUGCAAUUGCAUCACUACCAGAUGGACCUGCGUUGUAUUAGCUAGUUGGUGAGGUAACGGCUCACCAAGGCAACGAUACAUAGCCGACCUGAGAGGGGGGGCGGCCACACUGGGACUGAGACACGGCCCAGACUCCUACGGGAGGCAGCAGUAGGGAAUCUUCGGCAAUGGACGGAAGUCUGACCGAGCAACGCCGCGGGAGUGAAGAAGGGUGUCGGAUCGUAAAGCUCGGUUGUAAGAGAAGAACGAGUGUGAGAGUGGAAAGUUCACACUGUGACGGUAUCUUACCAGAAAGGGACGGCUAACUACGUG